rnacentral:rRNA from 1 species
AUUGAACGCUGGCGGUAUGCUUAACACAUGCAAGUCGAACGGUAACAGCAGAGCUUGCUCUGGCUGACGAGUGGCGGACGGGUGAGUAAUGAGUAGGAAUCUACCUUAGAGCGGGGGAUAACCCGAGGAAACUCGGGCUAAUACCGCAUAAUCUCUACGGAGCAAAGAGGGCCUCUUCUUGAAAGCUCUCACUUUAAGAUGAGCCUACUUCGGAUUAGCUAGUAGGUUGGGUAAAAGCCAACCUAGGCGACGAUCCGUAGCUGGUCUGAGAGGAUGAUCAGCCACACUGGGACUGAGACACGGCCCAGACUCCUACGGGAGGCAGCAGUGGGGAACAUUGGACAAUGGGCGAAAGCCUGAUCCAGCAAUACCGCGUGUGUGAAGAAGGCCUUAGGGUGUAAAGCACUUUCAGUAGAGAAGAAAAGCUCAAGGUUAAUACCCUUGGAGCUGUGACGUUAUCUACAGAAGAAGCACCGGCUAACU